UUGAGGUAAAAGGAGCAAUCCGAUCUGGGGUGAGCUCGCGUCCGAUUAGCCAGUUGGCGGGGUAACGGCCCACCAAAGCGACGAUCGGUAGCCGGCCUGAGAGGGCGAUCGGCCACACUGGAACUGAGAGACGGUCCAGACUCCUACGGGAGGCAGCAGUGGGGAAUAUUGGGCAAUGGGGGAAACCCUGACCCAGCAACGCCGCGUGAGGGAAGAAGGUUUUCGGAUUGUAAACCUCUGUCCUUGGUGACGAAGGAAGUGACGGUAACCAAGGAGGAAGCCCCGGCUAACUACGUGCCAGCAGCCGCGGUAAUACGUAGGGGGCAAGCGUUGUCCGGAAUGACUGGGCGUAAAGGGCGUGUAGGCGGCCGAUUAAGUCUGGAGUGAAAGUCCUGCUUUCAAGGUGGGAAUUGCUUUGGAGACUGGUUGGCUUGAGUGCGGAAGAGGUAAGUGGAAUUCCCAGUGUAGCGGUGAAAUGCGUAGAGAUUGGGAGGAACACCAGUGGCGAAGGCGACUUACUGGGCCGUAACUGACGCUGAGGCGCGAAAGCGUGGGGAGCGAACAGGAUUAGAUACCCUGGUAGUCCACGCGGUAAACGAUGAAUGCUAGGUGUAGCGGGUAUCGACCCCUGCUGUGCCGCAGUAAACACAAU
rnacentral:rRNA from 1 species